AUUGAACGCUGGCGGCAUGCCUUACACAUGCAAGUCGAACGGCAGCACGGGAGCAAUCCUGGUGGCGAGUGGCGAACGGGUGAGUAAAGUAUCGGAACGUGCCCAGUCGUGGGGGAUAACGUAGCGAAAGUUACGCUAAUACCGAAUACGAUCUAUGGAUGAAAGCGGGGGAUCGCAAGACCUCGCGCGACUGGCGCGGCCGAUAUCAGAUUAGGUAGUUGGUGGGGUAAAGGCCCACCAAGCCGACGAUCUGUAGCUGGUCUGAGAGGACGACCAGCCACACUGGGACUGAGACACGGCCCAGACUCCUACGGGAGGCAGCAGUGGGGAAUUUUGGACAAUGGGCGAAAGCCUGAUCCAGCCAUGCCGCGUGCAGGAUGAAGGCCUUCGGGUUGUAAACUGCUUUUGUACGGAACGAAAAGGUUUGGCCUAAUAAGCUGAGCUCAUGACGGUACCGUAAGAAUAAGCACCGGCUAACUACGUGCCAGCCGCCGCAGUAA
rnacentral:rRNA from 1 species